rnacentral:rRNA from 1 species
GGAAGAAGGCCUUCGGGUUGUAAACCACUGUCGGGAGUUAGGAAAUGCAGGUGCGUUAAUAGCGCACUUGCUUGACUAAGGCUCCAGAGGAAGCCACGGCUAACUCUGUGCCAGCAGCCGCGGUAAUACAGAGGCGGCAAGCGUUGUUCGGAAUUAUUGGGCGUAAAGAGCACGUAGGCGGCCUUGCAAGUCAGUUGUGAAAGCCUUCCGCUUAACGGAAGAACGGCAUCUGAUACUACAGGGCUUGAGUACGGGAGGGGAGAGUGGAACUUCUGGUGGAGCGGUGAAAUGCGUAGAUAUCAGAAGGAACGCCGGCGGCGAAAGCGACUCUCUGGUCCGAAACUGACGCUGAGUGUGCGAAAGCUAGGGGAGCAAACGGGAUUAGAUACCCCGGUAGUCCUAGCCGUAAACGAUGGGCACUAAGUAGAGGGAAUU